CCGUUUCUCUCCUCAGCCCGCACACUGAACACAGCAUCUGCUCUGCCCCCGUCAGGAUAGUCUGCUCGAAGAAGAGCGACAGGCAAUCCUGCUCAACAAAGAGACAGAAGGAAGGUUCUGCAGAGCUCGUCAUGUCCCCAAAAUCCCACCCUUAUUCCAUGGAGGUGUCUCUAGCAGCCAGUAGGAGCCGCUAGUGCGGCAACAAGGACAUGAGCUUGUCACCGUCUUCCCCAACCAUGUGCACUGUGUUUUUUUUGGGGAAUGCAGGAUGAGGACUCUGCAGUGGAGGAAACCUUCAGUUAGUGGAGUUACACACAUUCACUGAGCAGCACUGAUGGACCUAUCCAAGGUUAAGUCCCUUGCUCGAGGGCACGUCAGCAGUGGCAAUGAAGGAA